rfam:Clostridium formicaceticum strain ATCC 27076, complete genome.
ACCUUGCAACUGCUGAAUCCUGUAUUUCUACAGGUACGGAGGAACCAAUUUCGGGGUUAAUCCAUGUAUAUGGUAGGGAGCCUUCUAUCCCGCACCCGUCAGCUAACUUCGGAAGCACCAUUAAGGAAGGAGUG